CAUCCACAACGAACGAACGAACGGCCAUUGUGAUUUUAUAUUAAUCACAAACCGGCUUGGUUAUUAUGAUUAUAUAUUUUAUUAUGAAUAUAUAUUUUAUUUAAUAAUAGUUAGAUGAUCUGCGGUGCUGCUAUUAGUGUUUUUAGUUUUUCUGUUGUUCCAUUGUGGUAAGUAUAAUAAUUAUUAUAGUUAUUUAUAUUUUUUGAUUUGAAUAUAUCUGGUUAAAGGUUAUGGCAUGUAUGGUCGAAAAUGAUAAUUCAAUUUCUCAAUUCUUAAUUUUAUUCAGUUAUAAUUUUCAUGUUUCAAGCGAAACAUUUAUGAUUGUGAAAUAGCCAAUUGGAGGUAUUGAUUGAAUAAAUUGCCUCCAAAAUUUUAGCGCUCAAAUAGAUGAAGAAACUCAAUAAACCAUAUGUCUUAACUUCAUACAUUGACUUAAAUGGCUAUAUUUGUAGUGCUAUGAUUUACCUUGUUUGUCUCAAAUAGAAGUAGAUUUUAUGCAUUUUUAUUAACUUGGUAUUUAGCAGUGGUAUGAGUUUCGACCUUUAUUUUGUAGUUUUAUGGUAAGAAUGGCAUUUGUGGGUGUAGAAUUUUCCGAAAAUGGUUUAAUAGGUUUGGUUCAUUCUUCCUGGUUCAUCCCUUUGAAGCAGAAUGUUUUGUGGCCACCAUACAGAACGAGUGCUGCUUUCAAUAGGGCUCUCACACUAUGUGAAGAACCAAAUGAACAUAAUUGGAAGUUGUCUGGAGUAAAAAGAAUAUUUUUUGAAUGUGGUGCGUGAUUUAGUUUUGUUCCAUUAAGUUUAUAUUUUCAAAAGAAUUUUAACGAGUUGUGGUGUGGUUCUGGGUAUUUGUUAUACAUAUUUGUUUUUUAUUUUUCAGAUGAUCUCAACAAGGCGAAUAUAAUUCGGACAACCUUACUUCAGAUUGUGAGGGAGAGCGAACUAGGAGAAAAUUCGUUAGUAGAAGGAUUUUGAGUGACAGUGAAAGUGAAGGAGAAACAGUAUCAAAUCUGAUAAGGCCUCCAUCUUUCCAAAAAUAUAUUUCUGUGAGUGGCUCUGGUAAGUCAGCUUCUAGGCCGAUUGUGAAACCAAAUUCAUAAAUAUCUCCACCAACUUCCACUAGACAAAGUACAGAAUUGCUUUCUCAAACACCUGGGGGAUCACAUUCGCAAUCAAUUCAAACAACUUCCAAUAUACAGUCUGAAGAGAAUACAGAUAGAAUUCAUCCAAAAAAUUUAGAGAAAAUUUUUCUGGAAUUGAAAAAGUUGAGAGGAGAGGUCAAGGAAGUAAAGACUCUUAAAAAACUCAGUAGUUCAGUAGUUGCUAGUCUACCCAAUGACAUACCCGUGCAGUUUCCAAUAGACGAUCAAAGGAGGUUUGAAAAUUUGGAACAAUAUUUGAAAUCCCAAGAAAAAUUUAAUGAUUUGGUAAGUACUUUUUACAUAGAAUUUCAUUAAAAGUGAAUUAAG